GACGAAGGAUGCAAGCGUUAUCCGGAUUCAUUGGGUUUAAAGGGAGCGUAGGUGGCCUUGUAAGUCAGUGGUGAAAUCUGACAGCUUAACUGUUAAAUUGCCAUUGAUACUGCAAGGCUUGAGUACAGAUGCCGUUGGCGGAAUAUGACAUGUAGUGGUGAAAUACAUAGAGAUGUCAUAGAACACCGAUUGCGAAGGCAGCUGACGAAACUGUAACUGACACUGAGGCGUCGAAAGUGAUGGGGAUCAAACAGG
rnacentral:rRNA from 1 species